CGCAAAUUCUGUCAGCCGGUGUCUUCUCUCGAAUACUUUCAAUCGGUGCGGUGCUAUUAAGACCCUCAUUCCGGAUUUUAUUUAAUUGCCUACGACUUUAAGUUUUGCAGUUUUGGAGUCGAGGUGGCCAUGGAAGUCGAGAAUGACUAGCGAUUUAGUAUUUCCAUAGAAAUUUAAGUUGAACAUGUCACAUUGUUUUAGUU